rnacentral:lncRNA from 1 species
CUUUCAACGGCCGCAAUUUUUUCUCUCUCUACUCUCAUCUCUCUCUUCCUCUCUCUACCAAUAGCCAUGGCCGCCUCCAUCCGCCGCCGGCAGAGCACCAGUCGCCUGCUGCCUCCGUUCUCCAGCCAACCACCGGAGAAAACCUCGAUUCCAGCAUCGGCGCUAUCUUCUUCCUCCUUUUUCAACCGGCGAAAUACCCCUAUGCCACCCCUGUUCUUCCAAUUCCAGCUACCAAUAGCAACAGCCGCCACGUCAGUAGCAGCCGGUGGAGCCCCCAGUUACAUGCUCUAUGAAUCAUUUAGGCAAACUUUAACAUAGGAUCAACGAUAAACUUAUUUUCCCACCUAGAAAUCCUUCUUUAGGAAUCAUAACUAGCUUUCGACAUAUUAAAUUAAGUUUUAGCAUGUUGAUAUGUGUGAGAACAUAGAAAUUAAUGUUCAAACGUUGAAAUUUCUUCU